UACGGUCAAAUCACGCUAAAAAAACACCCGUUCUCGUUCGAUCACCGAAGUUAAGCAUCGUAGAGCCAGGUCAAACGUAGUACUUAGAUGGGGGACCGCUUUCGGGAACACCUGGUACUGUAAG